GUGCCUAAUACAUGCAAGUCAACGGCUUUCUAUGGAAGCUUGCUCCACUGAGAAGAUAGUGGCGAACGGGUGAGUAACACUGGGGUAACCUGCCCAGUAAGAAGGGGGAUAACAUCCGGAAACGGGUGCUAAUACCGCAUAGUUUUCUUGAUCGCAUGAUUGAGAAAGGAAAGACGGCCUUUGUGCUGUCGCUUAUGGAUGGACCCGCGGCGUAUUAGUUAGUUGGUGAGGUAAUGGCUCACCAAGACGAUGAUACGUAGCCGACCUGAGAGGGUGAUCGGCCACAUUGGGACUGAGACACGGCCCAAACUCCUACGGGAGGCAGCAGUACGGGAAUCUUCCGCAAUGGACGAAAGUCUGACGGAGCAACGCCGCGUGAGUGAAGAAAAGGUUUUCGGAUCGUAAAACUCUGUUGUCAGAGAAGAACAAGUUGGAGAGUAACUGCUCCAGCCUUGACGGUAUCUGACCAGAAAGCCACGGCUAACUACGUGCCAGCCGCUGC
rnacentral:rRNA from 1 species